CAGUCGCCGCGGGAAUACGUAGGUGGCAAGCGUUGUCCGGAAUUAUUGGGCGUAGAGGGCUCGCAGGCGGUUUCUUAAGUCUGAUGUGAAAGCCCCCGGCUCAACCGGGGAGGGUCAUUGGAAACUGGGAAACCUGAGUGCAGAAGAGGAGAGUGGAAUUCCACGUGUAGCGGUGAAAUGCGUAGAGAUGUGGAGGAACACCAGUGGCGAAGGCGACUCUCUGGUCUGUAACUGACGCUGAGGAGCGAAAGCGUGGGGAGCGAACAGGAUUAGAUACCCCGGUAGUCCUGUCUCUUAUACA
rnacentral:rRNA from 1 species